UGAGGAAUAUUGGUCAAUGGACGAGAGUCUGAACCAGCCAAGUAGCGUGAAGGAUGACUGCCCUAUGGGUUGUAAACUUCUUUUAUACGGGAAUAAAGUUAGCCACGUGUGGCUUUUUGUAUGUACCGUAUGGAUAAGGAUCGGCUAACUCCGUGCCAGCAGCCGCGGUAAUACGGAGGAUCCGAGCGUUAUCCGGAUUUAUUGGGUUUAAAGGGAGCGUAGGCGGGUUGUUAAGUCAGUUGUGAAAGUUUGCGGCUCAACCGUAAAAUUGCAGUUGAUACUGGCGACCUUGAGUGCAACAGAGGUAGGCGGAAUUCGUGGUGUAGCGGUGAAAUGCUUAGAUAUCACGAAGAACUCCGAUUGCGAAGGCAGCUUACUGGAUUGUAACUGACGCUGAUGCUCGAAAGUGUGGGUAUCAAACAGGAUUAGAUACCCUGGUAGUCCACACAGUAAACGAUGAAUACUCGCUGUUGGCGAUAUACGGUCAGCGGCCAAGCGAAAGCAUUAAGUAUUCCACCUGGGGAGUACGCCGGCAACGGUGAAACUCAAAGGAAUUGACGGGGGCCCGCACAAGCGGAGGAACAUGUGGUUUAAUUCGAUGAUACGCGAGGAACCUUACCCGGGCUUAAAUUGCAACUGACUGAACCGGAAACGGUUCUUUCUUCGGACAGUUGUGAAGGUGCUGCAUGGUUGUCGUCAGCUCGUGCCGUGAGGUGUCGGCUUAAGUGCCAUAACGAGCGCAACCCUUAUCGAUAGUUACUAGCAGGUCAUGCUGAGGACUCUAUUGAGACUGCCGUCGUAAGAUGUGAGGAAGGUGGGGAUGACGUCAAAUCAGCACGGCCCUUACGUCCGGGGCUACACACGUGUUACAAUGGGGGGUACAGAAGGCAGCUACACGGCGACGUGGUGCUAAUCCCGAAAGCCUCUCUCAGUUCGGAUUGGAGUCUGCAACCCGACUCCAUGAAGCUGGAUUCGCUAGUAAUCGCGCAUCAGCCACGGCGCGGUGAAUACGUUCCC
rnacentral:rRNA from 1 species